UGGGGAAUUUUGGACAAUGGGCGCAAGCCUGAUCCAGCCAUGCCGCGUGCGGGAAGAAGGCCUUCGGGUUGUAAACCGCUUUUGUCAGGGAAGAAAUCUUCUGAGUUAAUACCUCGGGAGGAUGACGGUACCUGAAGAAUAAGCACCGGCUAACUACGUGCCAGCAGCCGCGGUAAUACGUAGGGUGCAAGCGUUAAUCGGAAUUACUGGGCGUAAAGCGUGCGCAGGCGGUUUUGUAAGACAGAGGUGAAAUCCCCGGGCUCAACCUGGGAACUGCCUUUGUGACUGCAAGGCUUGAGUGCGGCAGAGGGGGAUGGAAUUCCGCGUGUAGCAGUGAAAUGCGUAGAUAUGCGGAGGAACACCGAUGGCGAAGGCAAUCCCCUGGGCCUGCACUGACGCUCAUGCACGAAAGCGUGGGGAGCAAACAGGAUUAGAUACCCUGGUAGUCCACGCCCUAAACGAUGCCAACUGGUUGUUGGGAAGGUUCCUUCUCAGUAACGUAGCUAACGCGUGAAGUUGACCGCCUGGGGAGUACGGCCGCAAGGUUGAAACUCAAAUGAAUUGACGGGGUCAUAGCUGUUU
rnacentral:rRNA from 1 species